rnacentral:rRNA from 1 species
CUACGGGACGCUGCAGUGGGGAAUAUUGGACAAUGGACCAAAAGUCUGAUCCAGCAAUUCUGUGUGCACGAUGAAGGUCUUCGGAUUGUAAAGUGCUUUCAGUAGGGAAGAAGAAUGUGACGGUACCUACAGAAGAAGCGACGGCUAAAUACGUGCCAGCAGCCGCGGUAAUACGUAUGCCGCAAGCGUUAUCCGGAAUUAUUGGGCAUAAAGGGCGUCUAGGUGGUUUACUAAGUCUGAUGUGAAAAUGCGGGGCUCAACUCCGUAUUGCGUUGGAAACUGGUUUACUAGAGUCUUGGAGAGGUGGGCGGAACUACAAGUGUAGAGGUGAAAUUCGUAGAUAUUUGUAGGAAUGCCGAUGACGAAGGUAGCUCACUGGACAAGUACUGACACUAAAGCGCGAAAGCUAGGGGAGCAAACAGGAUUAGAUACCCGUGUAGUC